rnacentral:rRNA from 1 species
GACGAACGCUGACGGCGUGUUUAACACAUGCAAGUCGAACGGAGUGGCGAACGUGUGAGUAACACGUUGGUGAUCCGCCUUGCACUUGGGGAUCAGCUUGGGAAACUGGGUCUAAUAACGGAUUGUGCAAGAUGAGCUCGCGGCCUAUCAGCUUGUUGGUGGGGUAUUGGCCUAACAAGGCGUCGACGGGUAGCCGGCCUGAGAGGGUGUACGGCAACAUUGGGACUGGAAUACGGCCCAGACUCCUACGGGGUGCAGCAGUGGGGAAUAUGGCACAAUGGGCGGAAGCCUGAGGCAGCGACGCCGAGUGGGAGAGGAAGGCCUUCGGGUUGUAAACUCCUUUCGACAGGGACGCGGGACCUGGAUAAGGAGCACCGGCUAACUACGUGCCAGCAGCCGCGGUAAUAC